CGCAGCCAAUGGCGUUGGGGCUGGCGGUUGUGGCGAGCGGCCCCCGAGGACGCGGUCCCGCAGUGCUCGCUCGGGCCCUGCGCUCGUCGCGGUGCUGCCGGUUCGCUGUGCCCGCGGUGCGGCCCGGCCCGGUGCUGAGCGGGGCGGUGGGCGCCGGAAGCUGUCCCAAUGGCCUCAAAAGCACAAAGUGAGGAUGCAGAACAUGCAGCUGAGCCUCCUGCAGCUCCUGUGCAGAGGGACAGGACAUUCCAGUGGGGAGCCAUCCUUGCUGCAGUGAAGGACCAGCUCCCAUCUCUGGACUCUGACUCCUCCACAUCUGAUUGUGAGAGUGAUGAGGAGCUUUUCAUCUUCCAGAGGGACCUGCCAAACUUAAUUCCGGACCUGUCAGAAGAACUGAUGAUGUUUUCCCUGGAAGACUCCCAGGAGCAGCAAAUCCAGGAGACAGAAAGGCUUUCAUGGGAGAUCUGGAACGGAGACCUGGAAAGUUUUGACUUUCAGGAAGAAACAGAUGGUGCCCAAAUCAUUGCAAAAGAAGAUGUACAAAUGAUUAAAGAUGAAGCUCCUGAACCUGCCAGCCAGACUGAAGAAAUGCCAAGCCAAAAGAGAGCUGUUCUUGAAGAGUCUCCCUCAGAUUCCACAGAUCACCUUGAGGAGAAAGAGAUGGGCAGGACACAGGCCAAGGAAAAGGGGAACUCCUGGCUUAACACAGCAGUGUCUGUGGAGGAGCUGUUCAGUAAAAAGGAGAGAAAAAAGCUGAUAGAGACAAAAAUACUCUCCAAGGUCAUUGUGAAGCCAUCCCCAAAGCAGGAUGUCAAGCCUCCCUCCCAUGGUAUUAACAAUGGUCUAGGAAGUCUUGCAAAGGAAGAAACCUCAGCUGAGCAUCUUGGAGAAGCCACCCAUUUGUCAUUGCAGAAUAUUGAGAAAUGGGAUGUGGACAAGAAUCUUGAGGAGCUGGAGCAGCAGGGAGAUAAAACUUGUGCAGAAGUUGCUUUCUUCCCAGCAGAUUAUGAGACUUUGAGGAGGAAGUCUGAAUGUGAGCUCAUGGAAAGGCUGGGAGAGCUGUGUGCCAGGCAGUCCAGGGCAGCAUCCCCUCCCUGUGGGAGGCCACCAGCCAAGCUCUGCUCCUUCCAGGGACAGCAGGACAAUAAGGAUGUUGCCUUGCUGUCAUCCCCACCAAGUUCUCUGAGGAUGGACAGGAUGAAUUUCCAGGGCCUGCCAAAACCUGCAACUGUGUUCAUUGAUUUAAGAGAUGCUGAGCCACAAAAGUCAGUGACAGUCCCUGAAGAGGAGCAAAGUGCAAGUGACAGCUCCUCCUCUGAAGAAGAAGAGACUGUGAUAAUUAAGGAUGCAGCAGAAAGGAGAAUGAGGAAUUGCUCAGGGAAGAGCCUGUUACUGCAACAACUCCAAGCAGCCCGUAAGGAGGCCUUGGAGCAUCUUCAUAUAGUGUCUGCUCCAGCUGAGAAACUGCAUCCAGAAAGGCUGGAAGACAGAGGUUCCUCUAAUAAAAGUCAAAACCAAUCUUGUAAAGUGAGUCAAGAGAUAAAUGAGCUGGUUCCCAGGAAACUGAUGAGACUGGAACCAGGCAAGGAAAGUUCCUCCUUUGCAAGCUGUGGGGACAACAGAGCUCACACAGAGAAAGAGAACAAAAUGGGAGCUGAGAAGAAUCAAAAUGCAGCAAAUGCUCCAGAGUGCCAUCUAAUUACAGCAGAAUUGCCAAGGAGAGAAGGAAGUGAAAGAGAGCUGUCCCAAAAGGAAGAGGAGAUGAAGGAGAGGCAGAGGAGGUGCAGAUUGCAGGAGCAGCUGGAGCAGUGGCAGCCUCAGCGCUCGGUGCGUGGGAAGCAGCCCAUGGCAGAGAACACCCCACUCCUGUUCCACAUGGCAAUGGUGCUGACAUCAACAUUGGAAAUUGCCCUUUCCUUCCAUCUCUGGGUUGUUUGAGGACGUUGUGGAUCCUGGGAUCCCAACCCAGCUCCUCACCUGCUGGACCUGGGCUCCUCCUCAGCUCCACUGGAGCUGCUCACAUGGCUGCACUGAGGUGAUGGCCUCAGCACUAUUCAAAAAUACACCACUUUUAUUGCUGGGUGGAAAAUGCAGAAAGGAAAAGGACUAUAAUAAAGUCCAGUUAAUGUCUCCA
ensembl:lncRNA